rnacentral:rRNA from 1 species
GACAGAGGCCCCAAGCGUUAGGCGGAAUCACUGGGCUUAAAGCGUGUGUAGGCGGAUCGUUAAGUGUCUUGUGAAAUCCCACGGCUCACCCGUGGAACUGCUGGGCAUACUGGCGAUCUUGGGCCAACUAGGGGCAGUCGGAACAAGCGGUGGAGCGGUGAAAUGCGUAGAUAUCUGGAGGAACACCGGUGGCGAAGGCGGCAUCCUGGACCGGUAUUGACGCUGAGGCGCGAAAGCCAGGGGAGCAAACGGG